UGUAUUUGAAGUCUGACGAGGAUGAGAACCUCCGGGGGCAAGAGGUUCGACUCGAGCGAAGCGAGAGAACGUUGCGUCAGCAACGGCCCGCAGGGCGAGCCACGCAGUGGCGAGUCAUCCUCUAUCACCGACCA
rnacentral:sRNA from 1 species